GAGUUUGAUCUUGGCUCAGGACGAACGCUGGCGGCGUGCCUAAUACAUGCAAGUCGAGCGAACGGACGAGAAGCUUGCUUCUCUGAUGUUAGCGGCGGACGGGUGAGUAACACGUGGAUAACCUACCUAUAAGACUGGGAUAACUUCGGGAAACCGGAGCUAAUACCGGAUAAUAUUUUGAACCGCAUGGUUCAAAAGUGAAAGACGGUCUUGCUGUCACUUAUAGAUGGAUCCGCGCUGCAUUAGCUAGUUGGUAAGGUAACGGCUUACCAAGGCAACGAUGCAUAGCCGACCUGAGAGGGUGAUCGGCCACACUGGAACUGAGACACGGUCCAGACUCCUACGGGAGGCAGCAGUAGGGAAUCUUCCGCAAUGGGCGAAAGCCUGACGGAGCAACGCCGCGUGAGUGAUGAAGGUCUUCGGAUCGUAAAACUCUGUUAUUAGGGAAGAACAUAUGUGUAAGUAACUGUGCACAUCUUGACGGUACCUAAUCAGAAAGCCACGGCUAACUACGUG
rnacentral:rRNA from 1 species